CUGGGAGACAUGGGGACACUGAGACACUAGGAGACAUGGGGACACUGGGACACCAGGGACACUAGCUGGGAGACAUGGGGACACAGACACUUGGGGACAUUGUGUCCCUAGUGUCUGUGUCCCCAUGUCUCACAGUGUCUCAGUGUCCCCAUGUCUGUGUCC
rnacentral:miRNA from 1 species